rnacentral:tRNA from 1 species
CGGGGUGUAGUCUAAUGGUAGGAUACCAUCUUGGGGUGAUGGCGAACCGGGUUCAAUUCCCGGCACCCCGA